AAGUCGUAACAAGGUUUCCGUAGGUGAACCUGCGGAAGGAUCAUUACCUUUCAAUGCAGCAGAAUUGGGAUGGUUGAGUUUCUCGCCUCUCUUUUCUGCCUGUAUUCUACCCUUGUUUGUUAUAUACUAUUAUUUCCUCGGCAGGCUUGCCUGCCGAGUGAAACCAAUUACAACCUAUUUAAUUUUCAAUCAGCGUCUGAAAAAAAUUAAUAAUUACAACUUUCAACAACGGAUCUCUUGGUUCUG
rnacentral:misc_RNA from 1 species